rnacentral:rRNA from 1 species
UACAGAGGUCCCGAGCGUUGUUCGGAUUCACUGGGCGUAAAGGGUGCGUAGGUGGCAUGGUAAGUUUGAUGUGAAAGCUCAGGGCUCAACCCUGAAAUGGCAUUGAAUACUACUGUGCUGGAGGUUUGGAGGGGGGACUGGAAUUCUUGGUGUAGCAGUGAAAUGCGUAGAUAUCGGGAGGAAUACCGAUGGCGAAGGCAGGUCUCUGGGCUGACACUGACGCUCAUGCACGAAAGCGUGGGGAGCAAACAGG